AUUGUGCAUUUGGUCACUUUUGGGAACAAACGAGCCAUCGGGUCCACUCUCUGGUAUGGUCUCGUUUCCAUGGCGAACCCGGUCACAGCAGAUCCAUAAUUCGUGAAUUGUCCUUCUAGGAACUCGUUCAACAGGAGUCCACGCGGUCCCCAAAAAUGGAGAGGAGAGGUCAAUCGACAGCAUUGCGACUAAGCCGCCUUCCCACAUGCCCCAUAAAGCUCGAGGGAUGUAAAAAACCACAGCUUGAAUCCCCAGAACAAAGCAGACCUGAAAAAGGGAUUUUCAGUUUUAGACCGACCCACUGGUAGUAUCGAUGAUAAUGAAUCUCAUCGUUCUCCAAAGCUUGGCCAACUCCGGGACUCGCUACUGAACGUCCAGGAAUUCCUUUUAGGUGGCGAGACACGGUGAAGAAUUCGAGGGCGUUUGUCUUAACUUCCCAAUGCAAGUCCAGAACAGCUGACGUGGCCAUCAUGUGGGACAUGACUUCGAUUUUUGAUUUCCUGUUAAAACUAGUGAGUAUAUUUUAUCUUACUUACGGCCAUUUCCUGUAUACGUAAAGCUCUUUGAUCAGUAUCACAGCUUCUCUCCGCACCAC